CAUACGCGUUCAGGUUUGAUCCUGGCUCAGGACAAACGCUGGCGGCACGCUUAACACAUGCAAGUCGAACGGUGAAGAGGAGCUUGCUCCUCGGAACAGUGGCGGACGAGUGAGUAACACGUGAGCAACCUGCCUUCAAGAGGGGGAUAACGUUUGGAAACGAACGCUAAUACCGCAUAAAAUGUUUUCAUCGCAUGAUGAGAACAUCAAAGAAUUAUCGCUUGAAGAUGGGCUCGCGUCUGAUUAGCUAGUUGGUGAGGUAACGGCUCACCAAGGCGACGAUCAGUAGCCGUACUGAGAGGUAGAACGGCCACAUUGGGACUGAGACACGGCCCAG
rnacentral:rRNA from 1 species